rnacentral:rRNA from 1 species
UACGAAGGGGGCUAGCGUUGCUCGGAAUCACUGGGCGUAAAGGGUGCGUAGGCGGGUCUUUAAGUCAAGGGUGAAAUCCUGGAGCUCAACUCCAGAACUGCCUUUGAUACUGAGGAUCUUGAGUUCGGGAGAGGUGAGUGGAACUGCGAGUGUAGAGGUGAAAUUCGUAGAUAUUCGCAAGAACACCAGUGGCGAAGGCGGCUCACUGGCCCGAUACUGACGCUGAGGAGCGAAAGCGUGGGGAGCAAACAGG